rnacentral:rRNA from 1 species
UACGAAGGGGGCUAGCGUUGUCCGGAUUUAUUGGGCGUAAAGGAGCGUGUAGGCGGCCAUGUAGGUCCGGUGUGAAAACUCGAGGCUUAACCUCGAGAUGUCAUCGGGAAACCAUUUGGCUAGAGUCCGGAAGAGGAGAGUGGAAUUCCUGGUGUAGCGGUGAAAUGCGCAGAUAUCAGGAAGAACACCAAUGGCGAAGGCAGGUCUCUGGGCAUUAACUGACGCUGAGGAGCGAAAGCAUGGGGAGCGAACAGG